GACGAACGCUGGCGGCGUGCUUAACACAUGCAAGUCGAACGGAAAGGCCCUGCUUUUGUGGGGUGCUCGAGUGGCGAACGGGUGAGUAACACGUGAGUAACCUGCCCUUGACUUUGGGAUAACUUCAGGAAACUGGGGCUAAUACCGGAUAGGAGCUCCUGCUGCAUGGUGGGGGUUGGAAAGUUUCGGCGGUUGGGGAUGGACGCGCGGCUUAUCAGCUUGUUGGUGGGGUAGUGGCUUACCAAGGCUGUGACGGGUAGCCCGCCUGAGAGGGUGAACGGCCACAUUGCGACUGCGGUACGGACCAGACUGCUACGGGAGGCAGCAGUGGGGAAUCUUGCACAAUGGGACGAAGCCUGAUGCAGAAACGCCGCGUGCGGGAUGACGGCCUUCGGGUUGUAAACCGCUUUAGCCUGUGACGAAGCGUGAGUGACGGUAAUGGGUAAAGAAGCACCGGCUAACUACGUG
rnacentral:rRNA from 1 species